CCUACGGGUGGCAGCAGUGAGGAAUAUUGGUCAAUGGACGAGAGUCUGAACCAGCCAAGUAGCGUGAAGGAUGACUGCUCUAUGGGUUGUAAACUUCUUUUAUAUGGGAAUAAAAUGUUCCACGUGUGGGUUUUUGUAUGUACCAUAUGAAUAAGGAUCGGCUAACUCCGUGCCAGCAGCCGCGGUAAUACGGAGGAUCCGAGCGUUAUCCGGGUUUAUUGGGUUUAAAGGGAGCGUAGGUGGAUUGUUAAGUCAGUUGUGAAAGUUUGGGGCUCAACCGUAAAAUUGCAGUUGAAACUGGCAGUCUUGAGUACGGUAGAGGUGGGCGGAAUUCGUGGUGUAGCGGUGAAAUGCUUAGAUAUCACGAAGAACUCCGAUUGCGAAGGCAGCUCACUAGGCUACAACUGACACUGAGGCUCGAAAGUGUGGGUAUCAAACAGGAUUAGAUACCCGAGUAGUC
rnacentral:rRNA from 1 species